rnacentral:tRNA from 1 species
CUGCUAGCUCAGGUGGUUAGAGCGCACCCCUGAUAAGGGUGAGGUCGGUGGUUCGAGUCCACUGCGG